rnacentral:rRNA from 1 species
GAUGAACGCUGGCGGCGUGCUUAACACAUGCAAGUCGAACGGUGAAGCAGAGCUUGCUCUGUGGAUCAGUGGCGAACGGGUGAGUAACACGUGAGCAACCUGCCCCUGACUCUGGGGUAAGCGCUGGAAACGGCGUCUAAUACUGGAUAUGAGCUGCGACCGCAGGGUGAGAGGUUGGAAAGUUUUUUCGGUCUGGGAUUGGCUGAUGGGGUAUCAGCUUGUUGGUGGGGUAAAGGCCCACCAAGGCAUCGCCGGGUAGCCCGUCUGAUCGGAUGAUCAGCCACACUGGAACUGAGACGCGGUCCAGACGCCUGCGGGAGGCAGCAGUGGGGAAUAUUGGACAAUGGGGGCAAGCCUGGUACAGCCAUACCGCGCGUGUGAAGAAGGCCUUGGGGGUGGAAAGCCCGUUUGUUGGGAAAAAAAAGCAGCAGGUUAAUACCCCGCUGUUCUGACGGUACCCAAAGAAUAAGCACCGGCUAACUUCGUG